rnacentral:lncRNA from 10 species
CUGCGUGUGCCUUAACCUCGGCUAUAAAGCAUGCUGAGGCGGAGUCCCCUCGUUUCAGGCUCUUCAGUGUCAGUGCUCAGUAUCUGCCUUAGAGAACUACGAGAAGGGGCUGCUAGCAGCCGCCAUCCGGGGCACUGGGUGGCUGCAGGUGGUGGUGGCGAUGGAACGGUAGGAGGGCGGCCAGCAGCGGGAGCUUCUCCUGCCGGGCAGGAGGACGAGUAGAAGGGAGAGGCACCACCACAUGCUGGAGGCUGGAGCUUGCACCGCCGCAGCUCGCCUCACUGCAGUUGGAGGUGACGUUGGACACUACAGCUUGGCCAGAGUGGUAGAAAUGUUGUUGCAUAGGAUUACCAGGAGACACCAGGUGCUGCAGCAGCUUCGGGAUAACUUGAGGAUGCAUCCUGGGGAAGAGACACCUCUUGUCCAUGGCGCUGACUACUGAGGACAGCUUCGGUGUGGCUUUUCUGCGGCCAGCUUCUUUGAGGCCUUUUUCUUUCAUGG